rnacentral:misc_RNA from 1 species
UUUCCGUAGGUGAACCUGCGGAAGGAUCAUUAUUGAAUGAACUUGGUAGUGGUUGUAGCUGGCUCUCUCGAGAGCAUGUGCACACCCGCCAUCUUUAUCUUUCCACCUGUGCACUUCUUGUAGACUUUGGGAUUUGAAAACUUAUCCGGGGCAACUCGGUCGGGAGGAGCUGCUGUAGCAAUACGGCUCUCCUUGACAAGUCUUCAAGGUCUAUGUUUUUCAUAUACCCCAUAGUAUGUAACAGAAUGUAUACAAAUGAGCCUUAGUGCUUAUAAAACUUAUACAACUUUCAACAACGGAUCUCUUGGCUCUC